rnacentral:rRNA from 1 species
UACAGAGGGGGCAAGCGUUGUUCGGAAUUACUGGGAGUAAAGGGCGCGUAGGCGGCCUGCUAAGUCGAACGUGAAAUCCCCAGGCUCAACCUGGGAACUGCAUCCGAUACUGGAUGGCUUGAAUUCGGGAGAGGGAUGCAGAAUUCCAGGUGUAGCGGUGAAAUGCGUAGAUAUCUGGAGGAAUACCGGUGGCGAAGGCGGCAUCCUGGACCGACAUUGACGCUGAUGAGCGAAAGCUAGGGGAGCAAACGGG